AUUGAACGCUGGCGGCAUGCCUUACACAUGCAAGUCGAACGGCAGCACGGGAGCAAUCCUGGUGGCGAGUGGCGAACGGGUGAGUAAAGUAUCGGAACGUGCCCAGUCGUGGGGGAUAACGUAGCGACAGUUACGCUAUUACCGCUUACGAACUCUCGAUGAAAGCGGGGGGCCGCAAGACCGCGCUAGAGUGGAGCGGCCGAGAGCAGAUUAGGUAGUUGGUGUGGUAAAGGCUCACCAAGCCGACGAUCUGUAGCUGGUCUGAGAGGACGACCAGCCACACUGGGACUGAGACACGGCCCAGACUCCUACGGGAGGCAGGAGUGGGGAAUUUUGGACAAUGGGCGAAAGCCUGAUCCAGCCAUGCCGCGUGCAGGAUGAAGGCCUUCGGGUUGUAAACUGCUUUUGUACGGAACGAAAAGGUUUGGCCUAAUAAGCUGAGCUCAUGACGGUACCGUAAGAGUAAGCACCGGCUAACUACGUGCCAGCCGCCGCUGUAACAC
rnacentral:rRNA from 1 species